CCUACGGGUGGCUGCAGUGGGGAAUAUUGCACAAUGGGGGAAACCCUGAUGCAGCGACGCCGCGUGAAGGAAGAAGGUUUUCGGAUCGUAAACUUCUAUCAGCAGGGGAGAAGAAAGUGACAGUACCUGACUAAGAAGCCCCGGCUAACUACGUGCCAGCAGCCGCGGUAAUACGUAGGGGGCGAGCGUUAUCCGGAAUCACUGGGCGUAAAGGGUGCGUAGGCGGCCCUGCAAGUCAGGAGUUAAAUCCCUCGGCUCAACCGAGGUCAGCUCUUGAAACUGUAGGGCUUGAGUGCAGGAGAGGAGAGCGGAAUUCCUAGUGUAGCGGUGAAAUGCGUAGAUAUUAGGAGGAACACCAGUGGCGAAGGCGGCUCUCUGGACUGCAACUGACGCUGAGGCACGAAAGCGUGGGGAGCGAACAGGAUUAGAUACCCUUGUAGUC
rnacentral:rRNA from 1 species